GACGAACGCUGGCGGCGUGCUUAACACAUGCAAGUCGAGCGGGUAAGGCCCUUUCGGGGGUACGACGAGCGGCGAACGGGUGAGUAACACGUGGGUGACCUGCCCUCCAGCUCUGGGAGUAAGCCUGGGAAACCGGGUCUAAUACCGGAUAUGACUCCAUGACGCAUGUUGUGGGGUGGAAAGCCUUGUGCGGCUGAGGAUGGGCCUGCGGCCUAUCAGCUUGUUGGUGGGGNGAUGGCCUACCAAGGCGACGACGGGUAGCCGGCCUGAGAGGGCGACCGGCCACACUGGGACUGAGACACGGCCCAGACUCCUACGGGAGGCAGCAGUGGGAAUCUUGCGCAAUGGGCGAAAGCCUGACGCAGCGACGCCGCGUGA
rnacentral:rRNA from 1 species